AAAAUCAGGAACACCGGAACACCAAAAAUUCCGCUUAAUUUGUUAAAAAUUCGAGGGGGAAAAUUACCGGAGGUUGUGAAAUUAUUGCAGGAAAAAUUAUUCUGUAAAAGUAAAACUUGCUUUUUAAUAUUCUGACUUGCCGAUUGCUACUAAUUACGAACUGAAAUCAGUCUCAAAGUAAUAAAUAUUUGCCCGAAAAGAUGAAAUCAAAGCAACUUGAUUGUUUCUCACACAAAACGUAAGCAGCGAUGGAAGGAAAACCUUUUUAUAGCUAUUUAGACUGCUAAGGCUUCCUUUGCUUUGCCAAUUGCCAAAUUUUAUACUACCAAGUUCGCGUGAAACUUGUGAACGGCUCCCUUUUCAAUACCCCAACAGAAAUGGCGACUAUACAUACUGACUAUUGGUCUAUUGCCUCACAUUUGCGGAGUAUGUUUCGAAAUAUAUUACCACAUAUGCCUCGGUUUAAACGCGGUUACGUUUAAAAGAGAAAUGAGUGCGCGGAUUGCGGUUAAAAUUUGAAAAACAGCUCGGUUUUCGGAGAUGCGUACCCCCUAUAAUAGACCCCCA